AAUACUGAGAUCAACUUCCUUAUAUAGUGGCGACUGUGAACGAAAUCCAACGGCUUAGGACUAUAGCCUCAAUGGCUGUUCCGAAGACUGCCUUAGAAGACAUACAAAUUGAUAAUCUAACAAUACCCAAACGAUCUACCAUGGUAGAAGUCAUUGUGUCUGCACAUUACGAUAAUGAGUACUGGGAAAAACCUGAGGAAUUCCGACCAGAAAGGUUCCUUGAUGAAAACAACUCUAUCAUUCGUCACGAGGCCUUUUUCCCCUUCGGUUUGGGGAAACGGAUGUGUCUUGGAAAACAGCUAGCGGAGACAGAGCUGUUUAUUUUUCACCAUGCUUAUUCAAAGAUUUCGAUUUGAG